CACAAAAUUCACAAUACUGAAAUGAUUUGAAAAACGUCAUUCAUCUUACUUAUUUCUGUUGGCCAUGGAUUGACGAAGAGCACUCUGGCGGUAAAUGGCUAAACUAAAAACCAAAUCGUCAAAUCAAGUCAAUAUGGGUACGUCAGGAAUAUCCUUUUUAAAAGAAACUAUCGUUCCUACCUAUCAGAAAUUAUUUGCUGAAUGGAAUAAAUCAAAUCCGAAUUUAGAAGUUUGUCAAAGAUUGUUGAAUGCAAUCGAGGUAAGAAUCAUUUCAAUGGAUUUCGAAAUUCAGAAAGGCUUAGCAACUUGCUGAUUCAUCUUAUCAUGCAGUUCUUGUCAAGAAUCAAAUACUCCAAAAUUCUGUAUCAUUUAAUGUGAAUAAAUCAAAAUUUUAACGUUUUACUGGUAUAUCCUAUUAUAUCAUAAUGAUUAUUA
rnacentral:lncRNA from 1 species